GAUGAACGCUAGCUACAGGCUUAACACAUGCAAGUCGAGGGGUAGCACGGAAGAAGCUUGCUUCUUUGGGUGACGACCGGCGCACGGGUGAGUAACGCGUAUCCGACCUACCCAUUACUCGGGCACAGCCGCUCGAAAGAGUGAUUGAUUCCCGAUAUGUCCUUGGAGUAGAUUCAAUGAUGAAAGAUUUAUCGGUAAUGGAUGGGGAUGCGUAAGAUUAGGGAGUAGGCGGGGUAACGGCCCACCUAGCCGACGAUCUUUAGGGGUUCUGAGAGGAAGGUCCCCCACACUGGUACUGAGACACGGACCAGACUCCUACGGGAGGCAGCAGUGAGGAAUAUUGGUCGAUGGGCGGAAGCCUGAACCAGCCAAGUAGCGUGAAGGAUUACAGCCCUACGGGUUUUAAACUUCUUUUAUAUAAGAGUAAUGCGCACUACGCGUAGUGUAUUGCAAGUAUUAUAUGAAUAAGCAUCGGCUAACUCCGUGCCAGCCGCCGCAGUAAAAC
rnacentral:rRNA from 1 species